rnacentral:rRNA from 1 species
AUACGGAGGGUGCAAGCGUUGUUCGGAAUCACUGGGCGUAAAGGGCGCGCAGGCGGUUUGGUAAGUCAGAUGUGAAAGCCCAUGGCUCAACCAUGGAAGUGCAUUUGAAACUGUCAGACUUGAGUACUAGAGGGGAAAGUGGAAUUCCCGGUGUAGAGGUGAAAUUCGUAGAUAUCGGGAGGAGUACCGGUGGCGAAGGCGACUUUCUGGCUAGAUACUGACGCUGAGGCGCGAAAGCGUGGGGAGCAAACAGGAUUAGAAACCCCGGUAGUCC